UACGUAGGGCGCAAGCGUUAUCCGGAAUUAUUGGGCGUAAAGAGCUCGUAGGCGGUUUGUCGCGUUGUUCGUGAAAACUCACAGCUCAACUGUGGGCGUGCGGGCGAUACGGGCAGACUAGAGUACUGCAGGGGAGACUGGAAUUCCUGGUGUAGCGGUGGAAUGCGCAGAUAUCAGGAGGAACACCGGUGGCGAAGGCGGGUCUCUGGGCCGAUACUGACGCUGAGGAGCGAAAGCGUGGGGAGCGAACAGG
rnacentral:rRNA from 1 species